rnacentral:lncRNA from 1 species
UGCACUCCACCUACUGAGGCCCGGUUAAAUUUCGCAGGGACCUUCGCCAGAGCCAGGCCAAACACCGGGGCCGGAGGGCCAGCUCUGGGGGAGACUGGCAAUGUUACAGUGUGAAAACAGGAGAAAAGGCGUUUUUAAAAAGAAAAAAAAAAAAAGAAAAAAAGAAAAGAAAACAGUUUUUCAGAGAGGGAAGUUCUUGACUAGAGCACAGAGCUUUAUCUCAAAUAGGGACACCAAAUAAUUCCGGAUGUGAACGUUAAUAAAGUCCUCUAUUUCUCGCAGACGCCACAAGACUCAGAAAUCAUAUUUGCAUAAAACGAAUCACUUUGCACUUUAGGACCUAUUUUAGACUUCCAUUUCCUUCUCCAUGCGAGUUACUCUUGUGUUCUCUUCACCCCUCACCCCAUGGCUACAUCUUCUUUCCUUAGGGAUCCACCGUGAUUUCUAUCAGUGUGGAAGAUGCAUGCAUCCUUUCACCUAUGUCUGUUGGUAUCGAACCAGCUAGGAACAUUUUCCAAGAAAAGAGGAACACUUCCGUCCAGGAACUGGACCUCGAGGUUCAAAGCUCCUUCAAAAGCGCUGCCCAGGGAAAUGGCAAAGUCUCUCCUUCAAGAGGACAGGGAAUGCUUAAGAGAAAAGCGUUGAGGAGCGGUCCUGAUGUAGAAAUCCAAGCUAAGCCACGAAGACAAGAUACAGUCUGUGCUACCUUGGGUUUUCCGUCAGGGGGCCCCAGAAAGAAGGAAAAGGAAAGAAAGAAGGAAGGAAAGAAAGAAGGAAAGAAAGAAAGAAAGAAAGAAAGAAAGAAAGAAAGAAAGAAAGAAAGGAGAAGAGAGAAAGAAUGAGAGAAAAAAGGAAGGAAGAGAGAAAGAAAGAAAAACAGAAAAGAGAAAGAAAGAUAGAGAAAGGGAAAGAGGAAGAAAGAAUCACAAAUAUAAAGCUGAAGCAAAAGGUACAGUCCUCAAACUGCUGGGUUCCUAAGAGUUCUCCAGCUAUCUCUGUCUCAACUCAUAAUUAGUUGGAGCAUCAGUGUAACUUCCAGUAGGAGCCUGAAUCAUCUACUGUGGGAUCUGGUACAGGACCCUUCAAAGAAUGUGAACAUCAAAUUCCAUCCACUUUGAAGCACCCUUCCAAAGGGUUGCCAGAUUCUAAUUCUGACAGGAAACAUUGAAAACUGUGACUCGGGCUGGACACUGUGGUAGAAGCUGGUAAUAUCAGCUACUCAGGAGGCUGAUGCAGGGAUAUUGCAAAAUGUAGGCCAGCCUGGACAACUUAAGGGGACACUGUUUCAAAAUUAAAAAAAAAAAAAAAAAAAAGAUUUGGGAUGUAGCACAGUGAGAAAGCUGCCCCUGGAUGUGACGCCCCAGUUCCAUCACCAACACCACUACCAAUAAAGAAAAACAAAGAAAAAUGACUCAGCUGCAAGGUUAGGCCACCAGCUCAGACCUAGUCCCAUCUCAAUAAAUUAAAUGCACAUAGAAAGCACUAAAGGACCCAAGGUCGGGAUCUGAGCUGGAUAGGUCUGAUCGCAGUCACCGAAGGUCUGGAAGAAUAAAGGGAAAAACUUCCACUGGUGAGGUGGGAGUGAGCUGGUCAGGAGGCACACAGUGAGUCCGCCUCCCCCAAGUCUCCUUUAGCCUGGGAAAAGUCUUCGGACAGAAAGGAAACUAUUUACUAAUCAAACUUAUGUGCUUCUUUUCUAAAAAGCCUGCAUCGACACACCAAUAGGCCCGUUCUUACUUGUGGAGAAUUCACACCCACCUGCCUCUCUACCACUCCGCAGCACCGCUUCCUGUAGCUCUUCCCCACCCCCACCCGACUCGGUGCCCUGAGAAUCAGUUGGAGCCUCGUUUCCCAAAGGACCCUGCUCUGCUCCCCGCUGUGCCCACCUCUUCGGGCGGUAGCUUCUGUGGUACCUGGAGGACCAGCCUCGCGGAGGAGCCAGGGCUCCCAGCCCGCGCCGCUCCGCUCUUCCCGCGCUCGCCCAGCGCUCCUUUGUGUCCCCGCCUGCCAAGUGCAAUCAAGCCAGAGAGGCCUUGCUUCUCGGCUUUUUCUCCAGAUUCCCACUCGUCUUCCCCACCCCGCCCUCCCCCUCCCGAAAAGGCAAACUUUUCAGCCUGGAUGUCUCACAUUUUGCACAUUAGACUGGAAAGCAUGCACAUACAGAUCAAUAUUUUUGGGCUCACAGGUCAUCUGCCACAGUGAACGCUGGGGAAAAAGAGGAAACCAAUGAAAGCUUUUAAGCUUCUACAGUAUUGAUGCAGCGCAUAGCUCAGAGCUAAGAUACCAGGGUGUGCCGGAGAGGCUAACUCAGUAUUCAGUUACGUGCGAGGAGCCUUGAACUCCGCGGUCCCAUUCUUUUUCGGGCCUUUGGAAGGAGAUGCGGGCAGGAAGAAGAGGAUGGAGGGUCGGACAUCUGAGCGAACAGCAGCCCAGCCGGGGCAUCAGGAGCACGUUAUGGUUAUCCUGUAAAACACACACACUCACACACGCACACACGCACACCACCUCCUCUUUUUCAGAUCACCAGCAAAGGUGUGGAGUUCAUUUUUAUUUAUGAAGAAAUCCUAGGCAGAUUCCAGCUGACCAAUUUUGUGCCUUCUCUCUGCGUUUGUCUUAAGACACGCUGGAGAGAAAGCGACGUUCGAGCAGAGCGCUCAGCCGGCAAGUUUGGCUCCAGAGCGUGCGAAAUAUGAAUCACCGCGGCGGAGAGGGUUUCUUUUUUCUCACCCUCUGCUUUUCUUCUAGAGCGUGAACUUGUUAGAUAAGAUAGAUGAGGCCACGGAGGAAAUGGAAACACAGAAAAAAACCCAGUUCUUUUCGGCGAGAACAGCCUGCAAGGCUGGCAGGCAGCGGCCGCGAGGUAUCGGAGGCGUGGAGCUCAGGGUUGAUUCCGACCUGGUCCAGUUGGCGCCCCCACGCCGCUAGCUUGGCCCUACGCUCCCUGGGCUGCCCCACUGUCUACCUUUGGACCCCAGCAAAAACACCUCCCAAAGCGAGAAACGUUCCCUCCACUAAGAAUAUGCACACCCGCUCGCCUGGAGCACAGAACUGGGCCCGAAGCUUUUGCUCGAAGAAGUUCUAAGUCUGGACCACAAAAUAAGCGGUGGGUGGGAGACACCGGGUUUUAAGGAGGUCUGGAAUUACACAUGAAACAUUAUUUUCCUAGCUAAUUAAAAGUAAUUCUCUUUCCCUAUUUAUAUGCAUAGACACGCUGUUUACCACACGCCCCUCUGUGCUUGAAAAACUGCUCAGAGCAUCUUUGGUACACACGGCUCGUUCUUUGUCCCCUCGAACAUUUACAGCUGAUGGUGCGGUUGGUGGAGAUCAAUUAGCACUGGAUUUUGCCCCAGGAUUGCUCCCCAGGGCGAACGAAUGCAGCCAACUCCUCUCCAGCGACUUUUUUUCGCCCAUGUGUGUUUCCACGCCAGGGCUGCUGAAGUAGUUCAAAAUCCCCAGCCUUGGUUUCACUUGAUUUUGUUGUUGUGUUGUUAUUGAUAAAUAUUGGGUCAUACACAAGCCACUUGUCAGAGCCUCUGGCUCCAUCUCGCAGCUGCAGCUCCUAGCGGGACCUUUGAGUCUGGGCCCAGAAACUGGAAGGAUUCCCUGGGAAAAGAACUACACAGUCUCUGCUCCUUCAGCUUUGGAGAUGGUCCCUUGAGAUUAUCGUCCUGCCUGUCUGCUGUUAAGUUGAUUUCUUAAAUUAUUCCUGUAUGUGAACCCUGGGUAGACGUGUGUCUUUCCCCCUUUAAAAGAACACUAAAAUUAUUUUUUAAAAAGGCGGGGGGGGGGCUAUUGAUCUCAGUCCUCUAGGUUUAUCUGAAGCCAGAAGAACACAUAGGCAGACAGAUAAUUGCUGUAAUUGCAAAGGUGUGGGGGAUGAGAUGGUAGGUAGAGCAUUGGGGCUUGUGUAAUUGGAGUAAUAUAUACAGUUUAUCUUCGGGCUGUGCUGUAUAUAUUCUCUCCCUUGAUACAUGUUGCGCAGGAACUGAACCCAUGGUCUGCUUGUCUUGGCAUGUUUGAAGCCCCAGACACCUAACAGUAUCAUUACAGGAAAGAGACAAAGCCCCAAAGACUUCUGGCAGGAGGUGACUGACUGCUUCGGGAGCCAUCAGGGAGUUUAUCUUGGCAUUGAACUUUUUGGGCCACCUCAUCUACACGUCAGACUCCCUGCUGCGCAAGGUUCAGGUCUUCCCCGGGCUGAAGUGGGGGUCUGUGUGGGGGGGAACAGCUGAUUUUCGACAUUUCAAAGGGGCUCUUUCUAUUUAUCAGUGUUACCGAAGUGUACGUUACUGGAAAAACAACAAAACAAGCAUAGAGCUGCAAUUUUCAAGAAAAUAGGAUCCCCAAAUAUAAAAAUAAAAAAGUAGCAGAUAAGAUGUAUAAUUCAAUCAAAUUACACAAAAUUGCUUGAAAAUCCAGAACAGUAGCAAUCCAUUAUGCCUGUUUUAUUAGUGACAAGCACAAUUACUCUAAAAUAAAGAACACUGGUGAAUAUAUAAUUGGCUGUAAUCAUGUUAGUGUUUGAAUAAAAAUGACGGG